CUGGCAUAUCAUCACUCUAAGAAAAUCUGAUAUGACAAUGCAAAGAUGAACUCUUCAGCUUAGAGGGACAGCUUCACAACAACUCCCAUCUCUGUGUAGUAUCCAGCAGGAGAAUUUCAAACUCACUGCAGCAUUUUAAAGAAGAAAACAACAUAGUCUCGUGGGGUAGGUAAGCGUACAACUUUGUUGUCUCCUAUUAUAUGAAUGCAGAACGUGCUCAAACUCUAUUAGAGCAAAAUUACUUUUAAUGAUCCCUAACCAAGGAGGGAAAAACAUGCCUAAUUGGUGUUUUAAGAAAUCAACGAAGCGUAAAAUGACUCAACACCAAAGAUCAGGAUGCCAGAGAAAUGUGAAGGUGUAUGCCGCAAAGCAUAUCGCAGAUGGCACAACAAACAAAGCAAAAAGCUAUCCUAAAACAUUGGCACAGUUAUGAAAAGUUUAUAAAAAAUGUAACCAAUAGCCAAAUAUGUGCGGCGAAGGAAACAGGAAGGAGGCCACCGUAGCGCAGCCUAUUACGCUGAACCACUGCUUUCGAAUCCUGGGGAAAACACCAAAAUAAAUUUUCAGCGGUGGUUGUCCCCUCCUAAUGCUGGCUACAUUUGUGAGGUACUGUACCCUUUGGUUAAAACUUCUCCACAAAGAGGUGUCUCACUGCAGCACGCCGUUCGGACUUGGCUAUAAAAGGUAGGCCCCAUUGAGCUUAAACUUGCAUCGGACAGCACUUACUGAUAUGCGAGAGAGAAUGUUCAUGGGCAGAAAGAAAUUUCAAACUAUUUGAGAAAGUUUUUCAAUUAAGAUAACGAAAAAAAUAGAAGAAAAAAUAUUCUCAUUUGUU